rnacentral:rRNA from 1 species
UACGAAGGGGGCUAGCGUUGUUCGGAAUUACUGGGCGUAAAGCGCGCGCAGGCGGUCCUUCAAGUCAGAGGUGAAAGCCCAGAGCUCAACUCUGGAAUGGCCUUUGAGACUAGAGGACUUGGGUACGGGAGAGGUGAGUGGAAUUCCGAGUGUAGAGGUGAAAUUCGUAGAUAUUCGGAAGAACACCAGUGGCGAAGGCGGCUCACUGGCC